rnacentral:tRNA from 1 species
GCUCAGUUGGUAGAGCAUGGUGUUUGCAAUGCCAUGGUUGUGGGUUCGAUUCCCAC